rnacentral:rRNA from 1 species
CUACGGGAGGCAGCAGUGGGGAAUCUUAGACAAUGGGCGCAAGCCUGAUCUAGCCAUGCCGCGUGUGUGAUGAAGGCCUUAGGGUCGUAAAGCACUUUCGCCAGAGAUGAUAAUGACAGUAUCUGGUAAAGAAACCCCGGCUAACUCCGUGCCAGCAGCCGCGGUAAUACGGAGGGGGUUAGCGUUGUUCGGAAUUACUGGGCGUAAAGCGCACGUAGGCGGACUGGAAAGUUGGGGGUGAAAUCCCAGGGCUCAACCCUGGAACUGCCUCCAAAACUACUAGUCUAGAGUUCGAGAGAGGUGAGUGGAAUUCCGAGUGUAGAGGUGAAAUUCGUAGAUAUUCGGAGGAACACCAGUGGCGAAGGCGGCUCACUGGCUCGAUACUGACGCUGAGGUGCGAAAGUGUGGGGAGCAAACAGGAUUAGAUACCCUGGUAGUCCACACCGUAAACGAUGAAUGCCAGUCGUCGGCAAGCAUGCUUGUCGGUGACACACCUAACGGAUUAAGCAUUCCGCCUGGGGAGUACGGUCGCAAGAUUAAAACUCAAAGGAAUUGACGG